GCUACAUGUCACUAUAGAUUCCCACCUUCAGGCCCUUGUAAGCAUGAUGCCGGCUGCAAGAAUUUGUGCACACAGGCUCCUGAAGAUCCAAAUUAUCUAGCGUGCAUUACUUCUGCCCCAAUGUUUGGCAAAUGUUGUUGUUUAGUAAGACCAUAGGUUGUCUAAUGAUACAUAAAUAUAUUUGUGUAAUGAUUGAAGUGGGAAGUACUACAAUAAAGUCAUGCGUAAAGCAUGGUUAAUGAGAUUGAUCUCUAAUUACCAUUAAGUUAUUGCUGAGAUAACAUGUUUCUUGAAUAUGGAUCCUUUCUAGUUUCUAUAUAUUGAAACUGGUUUGUCAUUCAUCACUUGUAUAUAUAUAUGCUGGUGGUGAUGCUCCUCUGGUGCUCGUCAAUGGAGUCGUGGCUACAGAAAACAUGAAUCGCCAUAUCGCCAUUUCCGUCCAUUUUUUUUUUCAGGUGUAGACACAACAAAAGAGGAACUGGUGCGGGUUCUGUCUGCCCCGCAAGACCCGCAAUGACCCAAACCGCAAAGGCCCAACCCGCAUGAGACUUAACCCGCGAGAACCGCUCACAAAUGGGCCUACAUUAUCUCAACCCAAACCCGCCCCGCAUGGAUCUUGUACGGGCCAGACCCGCGGGCUGCGGUCCAAUUGCCAUUCCUAGUUUCACCGGAUCCUUUACUCUAAUUUUGGAAUUUGUGUUAAGUUUGGAAUUUUUUUUUUUUGCUGAGAAUAUAAAUAAUGCAAGAUUUGCAUACAAUAUUGCAAUUAGAUUCUGAAGAUAUAUGUACAUAUAUUAUUUCUUUGUUAAUUAAUUAAAUUAGGAAUGAAUGUUCAAAUCUACUCCAGAGAGAAUAUUAUAUAAUGAAUGCAAGAUUUGCACACAUUAUUGCAAUUGGAUUCUUUAGAUAUAUGUAAAUAUAUUCUUUCUUUGUUUGAAACUAAUUAGUAACGUAUGUACUUAAAAAAAACGUAUAUACAAUUUACGCAAGUAUUUAAAGGGAGAUGAUUAUUUGCUCUAAACCCAAAAGAAAAACAUCUCCACAAAAGAAAAGAGAUACCAAGAAACAAUGUCAGCACAGAAGAUUCAACUUGCUUGUUUGAUCCUAGCUUUUUUUCUUCUCUUUUCUCAAUCAACUGGUAAUAUAUAUUAUCUUACUAUAGUUCUUUGAUAAUCGAAUUAUAUAAUAAAAUGAGCUGAUUCAGAUCAUUUAUUUUUAAAUAAACUUUUCAGCUACAUGUCACUAUAGAUUCCCACCUUCAGGCCCUUGUAAGCAUGAUGCCGGCUGCAAGAAAGACCGGAUGGACGGUGACCGGAGGCUCAAUAUAAUCCAGCACAAGCUUUUCCAGAUCUUCUUUUCCCAAACUCCCCAUAGUAACUAUUCUCACCUGUCUCUUCCAAUUCUUCUAGGUUUUCUUUUUCUUGGAAAAAGUUAGAGAGCAAAAAAUGACUUACAAAAUACAGUCUAUAUAAAAGUGUGUGACGUUUGACCAAAAAAAAAAAAAAAAAAGAUUCAGUGAUGAUGAACAGAGAGAGAGUUAGAGGGUUUAGAAGAUAGUAUUUGUGUUUUAUUAACUUUCCCAAAUGUUGAGAAGCAAACAUAUAAACGUGAAUGUAACCACUAAACCGUUUAAUAUCCGUCGAACAACACCUUCUAGUAAUAACAAAGUAGGUAUUCUAAUAAAUCAUACCAUGGUAUCGUCUGGACCAGCAGGAUUCCAGAAGCAAGGAAAUGGGAAAACAAAGCUUUCAUUGAUAUGAUCAUGAGAAGAGAAUAAUAGCCUUGAUAAUUUCUUAAAUCUUUUGUUUUAUCUUUGUUGUUUCCACAACAUUGCUACUUGCAUUCCCUAGAAUCUGUUUGAGUUUUCUCCAGCAAACUGCAGUACACAUCUGCACCUUGUUUUUGCUGAAAAAUAUCCUCCAUAUGUGCUUGAAGUCGAACCAGCAAAAAAUAGAUUGUUGUCUCAGGCCUGCAACUAGCCGUCGUUACUGCUUGGCAUGGCUGGGUGGCUCCAGAACGUUCAGUAACCAGUUCAUGUCGGAUACAUUCUUCUCAUGCAUAAGGGUGAUGGGAUUCACAAGCUCACAGUUGUUAGUAUUUUGAUAUGUGAUAAAAUAAAGAGAAAGGUCACCUCUGGGUAGCUUCAUGUACCUCAAAGCUAAUCAUUUCAUUAACCGCCCAAUGCCGAUUUUCUUUUGCUAGUUGAAAGAACGACUCCCAUGAGGUUUCGAGUUUUAAGUGAACCACCUACACGAUAACACUGUUCAACAUGCAGCACCUUAUACUUACAACCAUAGAUGCUAGUAGUAGUAGAUCCGCCCGAGUCUUAAACCAUGCAUUCACUAUCCAGUCUUGAGUUUCUGUAAACUCAUAGAUUCUUUUGCACAGAGCGAUUCGAAUUUGACGUGGCUUAUCCACUGAUACAUCAACCACUUCUUCAACCUCUUUUAACAUCUGAACUCACUCGAUCAGUAUCAUCAUAUCCCUUGUGCUUCAACUUAUGAUCAGCUUCGGUUGAGAUUGAUGUAUCAGCACGAAAGCGGUCUUUUCAAUUUUAGACGGAUUGAAAGCUCCCCGUUGCUGCUUGUCAUCGACAGAAGAGAUGAUCCGGUUACCCCAAUGAGACAGAGUUUCUGUAGAGUAACCGAUAGAUCCAGUCCACAACUCACCCAGAGCUUGUGAACCGGCCGUUAAUCAAAUCCUACAGUAUGGAAGAAGGAUCAAAGAGAUUCCAUGGAUGAUUACAGGGCUUUAGAAGAUAAUAAUAUUUGUGUUUGAUUAACUUUCCCAAAUUUUCAGAAGCAAACAUAUAAACGUAAAUGUAACCACUAAAUCAGUUUAAAUAAAUCAAAUAAAGAUAACCAGAGUUAAGGGACUUAAGACUACGUUAAGAAAAACAUUAGAUUUUUAGUAAAAGUAUAGAGACUAGAGAGAGAGAAUGGAGGAAAGAGGGGAUGAUGAAAUAUAGUUUUUUUUUUGGUUAUUAGAUCAACUUUCCCUAAACAUAACCAGAAUUAAUAGAUCAAAUAACCAAUGCAUAAACCAUUAAACCCUCAAACAUUCUGGUCAAACAAAGAAAAAUUAAUAAAAUCAAACCAACUAAAAAUCUGUAGGAGAUGAUUUGUUGGAUAUACUACUAAAAUUAACAUGUUGAGAAUGAACACACAGAAAAAAAAACAGAAUUACAUGUGAAACUAGAGAGAAGACAUCUGAAUGGACCGUCACAAAUGCUGGGAUUGACCAGAAGGGCACAAAAAAAUCUGGAAUAAACCCUUUCAAUUUUUAUUUUUUUAAUGAAUUAAAAAUAAAUCAAAAUUAAGCAGAAAAUAUCAUAAAACCUAAAGCUUCAACAUAUUUACAUAUCCAGCCAGUAUACUCACCCACUUACCAUUAACCCGACCCAGCCUGUGUUUUAGUAAACCUAAAUCCCCAAUUUCUUUGUCUUCGACGUAACCAACGAAACUUACAUACUAAAAUCACGAUCUUCCUCUAUCUCCCAUCACUGAUUAAACUCGGCAACAAUCAUCUUGAAUCUCAUAUAUUUCUCUAAUUUCGUGUCACUCAUUGAGAAACUAUGUCUCCAGAAAAGAAAAACAAGGAAGAAACCCAACCCAAUCCUUCUUUUUCCCCCAUUUCUUUCAUCAUAAAACAAAAUAAAAAAAUUUCUUCAAUCAUCCACUAUUAUUUUCCUUUUUAUCUCAUAUCAAUCAACCCAUAGUUAUAUUUAAUCAAUUUUAUCUUAUCUAGAAUCCAAUUUCAUCUUUUCCUUACGAUAUUUAAGAUAAUGAUCAAGAACACAAGGUAUUACUAGUACAACUAGUAAACCUCAAACUAGUACAACUAGUACAACUCAAACUAGUACAACUUGUACAACUCGAAUUAAUACAACUAGUAUAAAUUGAGUAUCUCCUAUACAUAUUUGAGAAGUGAUUUUCUUAUGUGUCAUCACCAUAUUUAUUCUCAUCCAAAAAAAAAAAGAUAACAUGGCUUUGAGAAAAUUAUGAAAUGGCAUCACUUAAUUAUGACAUGUAUAAUUUCUUUUAUUGAUUGUUUCCGGCAUAUGAAAAUGCUAAAAAAGAGAAUGAUGUAGAACCAUUAAGACACAUUGGUCUAAUCUCUUCUGCUUGCAUAUGUCAAAUAUAUGAAUAGUAUAUUUUUAAUAAUAUUUGAUUUGGAAUUGAUAUGUUUAUAAGUUAUACUAGUUGUACGAUUUUCGGAAAAAAAAUUUCUUCAUCUUUUUAUUCUCGAGGCCAAAAAGCUAGAGCCAGAAAAUUCUUCAACCAUUGCUCUAAGACGCAAAUCACCAGAAAGAAGAAAAAGAUUGGGUUUGAUGUAUGAUUUUUUUUUUUGCAAAUAAUUGUUUUAAUCGUGAUGUAUUAAUACAAUUGUUAUCGACAAUUGUAAAAUUUUAGUUUGUUUCUCGAGAUAAUAAUAGCUAUUAGAAAUAAACAAAAUUGCAACAACUAAUACAAAUAAUCAGUAGAAAUAUUAAUUAAGAAUUAUUUGCCAAAAUAAAUCAUUUUAAUCAAUUUUUUUUAAAUUACAUUUAAUUAGUAAACGAUAUAAAUCAGCAGUUGUAAAUUAUACAUAUUUUUGAAUAACUUCUUAAAAUUACUAAUUUUGUGUAAAAUGAAAUGAUGCAAAUAAUUUAUAUUUUUACAUCAGUUAUUAAAUAAAUUGAUGUAAAUUAUUUGCAUCACUAAUUAUUUUAGUACAACCGAUACAACUAAAGCAACAUACUAACAUGUAAUUCACCCACAAUGUUUAAAACGUGAUACACAUUUAAAACUUGAUGCAUAAUACAAGAUGAAAUAACAAAGUUGUACUAGUAUUUGAGUUGUACCGGUUUGUACAUAGUUGUAUUAGUUUUUGAGUUGUACCGGUUUGUACAUAGUUGCACUUUGGUAUUGAAAUCGAAAAAACUAGUUGUACCACAUAGCAUUAACUUACCUCAGUUGUACCACUUCUUUAUGUGUACAUGCCUUUGCCCCAAUGAAAUGAAAUCAUCAAUUUUGUUAAAAUACAUUUCAUGUAUGUUUUCCAAAAAUUAUGUGGACAAAGAAGUUAACAAACCUUAAAAGUAUAAGGUAGAUCAUGCAAACUUAUGAGAUGGUGUAAAAACUGCAAAAGAAAAAAACAAAAUUAUCACAAAUAAAAAGGAACCUAUCUAAAUACUUACCAAUUUGGCCAGCUAAUUUUUUUUUUCAUAUGGAAUAUUUCAAUUUCAGAAUCUGAAUAGUUGUACUAGUUAUAUCAGUAUCACUAGUCUGGUAAAUAAGACAUAGUCAUGUACCUACUUAGUACUCCGACACUGAAGGACAGGUCUGGACGUGUGUGAAGCAAGUAACGCAGACACCCAAUGCUUCUUCUAUAGUCUCUUUCGUUAAUACUCCUCUCUUCAAUUGAUCUUGACAGCUUCACGUUAAAGUCCAUAGGUAUAGACGCCGAGUUGCAGGUAUCCAUUCCACAUUCUUCAAGGAUCUUGCGAGCAUAUCUUUCUUGUUUCAAGGUAAAGCCUUCUUGACUUUGACACACUUCAAUUCCUAAGUAGUAUGUUAAUUUCCCGAGAUCACUCAUCUCAAACUUAGACGCCAUCUCUUUCUUAAAUUGGUGAAUCGUUACCAAAGAUGAUCCCGUGACUAGUAGAUCAUCCACAUAGACCACAACAACAAGCGUUCCACCCUUUUCUUCCUUCCUAUAUAAAGACGGCUCUUUUGAACAUCUCUGAAACUUGAACUCACGCAGGAUCGCAUUAAGCUUGACAUUCCAGGCCCGGGGGGCUUGCUUUAAUCCGUAGAGAGCUUUCUUUAGCUUGUAGACUUUAUUCUCCUUACCUGCAACCUUAAAACCUUCUGGCUGAGUGACAAACACUUCUUCUCUUAAUUCUCCAUGAAGGAAUGCAGUCUUAACAUCGAGAUGGUGUAUCUCCCAUCCUUUUGAGGCUGCAAGAGCAAUCACUAAACGAAUGGUUUCAAUGCGAGCCACUGGUGCGAAGACUUCAUCAUAAUCAACUCCUUGCUUCUGGACAUAGCCUUUGGCAACAAGUCGUGCGUUAUACUUAAUGAUAGUACCAUCUGCGCUUCGUUUAAUCUUAAACACCCACUUCAAGCCAAUAGGCUUUACUCCCAUAGGUAGGUCAACAAGUUCCCAUGUGUUGUUCUUCUCUAUACUGAAAAUCUCAUCUUCACAGGCAUCAAUCCAUACUUUUAGUUCCUUGGCUUCAUUGAAGUCCCAAGGUUCAUCAUUCACUAUAGAUAAGAGACGCUCACAUUCUGCUUCAGCCAUAAGAACGUAAUCGUCGAAAUACGCAGGUUUGGUGCUCGUUCUUGAUGAUCGUCUUAGGCGUGGCUGCUCAUCUUGAUUGUCACUACUGUUAUCUUCAUCAUCUCUUCAUCUCCACGAUCAUCUGUCUCUGACUCGAUCUCUGGUUGAGUUAUCUCAUCAGUUUCCUUGCUCUCUGUUCCGUUAAUUGUUCCUUUCACUUCAAACGUGAAGGUAUCACCGUCGUCAUCUUGAGCUGACUCUCCAUUAGUCCAGUUCCAUCCUUUAUUUUCAUCAAAAACAACAUCACGACUGACUACUAUCCUUUCCUUGGUAGGAUCGAGUAGCCGAUAGGCUUUGGAGCCUGGUUCUGUUCCAAGAUGAACAAGGAUCCUAGACCUAUGGUCAAGCUUCUUCUGUCCUAUCUUAUUGGUUUUAGCAUAACAGAUGCAUCCAAAUACCUUAAGGUGAGCGAUGUUAGGUGUCUUGCUUCGCAAGGCUUCAUAUGGUGUCUUCCCAUCUAGUGUCUUUGUUGAGAUACGAUUGAUCAGGUAUGUAGAAUGUAUAACAGCCUCGCCCCACAAGAAAUUUGGUACCUUCAUGUGUUUUAGUAUACUUCUAGUCAUCUCUAGGAGCGUUCUGUUUCGUCUCUCCACAACCCCAUUCUGUUGGGGUGAAUACGGUGCCGUCAAGUGUCUGUUAACACCAUUCUUCUCACAAAACGCAACAAACUCAUUCGAACAGAACUCUCCACCUCUAUCUGUCCGAAAUGUUCUCAACUCAGACUUUGUUUCUUGUUCUGCCAGUACCUUGAAGUUUUUAAACUUCUCAAACGCUUCAUUUUUUUCUUGUAGUAAUAUGGUCCACAUAUACCGGGAGUAGUCAUCGAUUAGUACAAAAACAUAUCUCUUGUGCGCAUGAGUUGGUGGUGUGAUAGGGCCGCAAAGAUCGCCAUGGACUAGUUCGAGAGGUCGUGUGGCUCGGUACAUAGUUGCUUGAGGAAAAGACUUUCUUGUUUGUUUUCCAAGCAGACAAGACAUACAUGUUUCUUUCUCAACCGUGAGUGCUGGUAUGCCAAUUACUCACUCUGUAUUGAUCAUUGCUUUCAUUGUACCAGUGUUGAUGUGUCCAAGGCGUGCGUGCAACGUUGAUGAUUCACUCUUUGCUGUGAUUUGGAGGCAGUCCUGACUAUCUACUUCGAGAGUGACUUUGUAUAGACGAUUCUUCGUUCUAGUUGUCCUUAUCAUCACCUUUCCAACACGAUCAUACAGAGUAAGUUGAUCUUCCUUCAUUCGAACUUCACAACCAGCUUCAGUGGCUUGACCCAAGCUCACUAUAUUGCUUUUGAGUCCCGGAAUAUAAUACAUGUUACCUAAUAUCUUUUUCUCACCUCCUUUGAACAUGAACUGAAUUGAUCCUUUUCCUCUUAUGUCAAUACGAGAAUCAUCUCCAAACCGCACUUUUCCGGUGAUUGUUUCAUAAAGUGUAACAAAGAACAUUCUGUUGCCGCUCAUAUGGUUACUAGCUCCAUUAUCUAGAUACCAUACGUCCCUAGCAUCAAGGUUAGUAUCAAACACGCUUGGAUUGACUUUUUUUCAUUGAGAUAGAUAACCUCAUGCAUCAUUAACUCGUCAGCCUCUUGUGUUUCCUCUGUUUUAGCUUCAACUGUCUCUUGAAGCUUAAGUCCCUGUUUAUCAGGACAUUCAGACGCGUAGUGCCCUUGUUUAUCACAGUUGAAACAUGUGAUGUGGGAGAGAUCACGUCCUUGUCCUGUCUUGUACGCAUCUCUUUGGCUAUGAAAGUUCCCAUACCUGCCGCGACCUCUUCCUCUCCAGCCAGAACGUCCUCCUCGUCCUCUUCCUCUAGCUCCACUAGAGUUACCGUAACCAGUUUGUUGUCCUUCAGAAUUGGCAUACAUUAGUUUGCCUUGUUCAUCAGACGCACACAGCCUCCUGAAGAUCCAAAUUAUCUAGCGUGCAUUACUUCUGCCCCAAUGUUUGGCAAAUGUUGUUGUUUAGUAAGACCAUAGGUUGUCUAAUGAUACAUAAAUAUAUUUGUGUAAUGAUUGAAGUGGGAAGUACUACAAUAAAGUCAUGCGUAAAGCAUGGUUAAUGAGAUUGAUCUCUAAUUACCAUUAAGUUAUUGCUGAGAUAACAUGUUUCUUGAAUAUGGAUCCUUUCUAAUUUCUAUAUAUUGAAACUGG
rnacentral:lncRNA from 1 species